UGAGAGAAACUGCACCUUCUACAGGAUCAUUGCUUCAACUAAACCACAUCUGUCAGCCAGGAGGACUGCAGCCACCAUUUAACGGGACUGCUACCAACACCCUGACCAACAGGGUUUCAG